rnacentral:rRNA from 1 species
CCUACGGGAGGCAGCAGUGAGGAAUAUUGGUCAAUGGACGGAAGUCUGAACCAGCCAUGCCGCGUGUAGGAAGACGGCUCUAUGAGUUGUAAACUGCUUUUGUACAAGGGUAAACCUGAAUACGUGUAUUCAGCUGAAAGUACUGUACGAAUAAGGAUCGGCUAACUCCGUGCCAGCAGCCGCGGUAAUACGGAGGAUCCAAGCGUUAUCCGGAUUUAUUGGGUUUAAAGGGUGCGUAGGCGGAUUGAUAAGUUAGAGGUGAAAUGUCCGAGCUUAACUCGGGAACUGCCUCUAAUACUGUUGAUCUAGAGAGUAGAUGCGGUAGGCGGAAUGUAUGGUGUAGCGGGGAAAUGCUUAGAGAUCAUACAGAACACCGAUUGCGAAGGCAGCUUACCAAUCUAUAUCUGACGUUGAGGCACGAAAGCGUGGGGAGCAAACAGGAUUAGAUACCCGGGUAGUC